AGUGAACGCUGGCGGUAGGCCUAACACAUGCAAGUCGAACGGCAGCACAGUAAGAGCUUGCUCUUACGGGUGGCGAGUGGCGGACGGGUGAGGAAUACAUCGGAAUCUACUUUUUCGUGGGGGAUAACGUAGGGAAACUUACGCUAAUACCGCAUACGACCUACGGGUGAAAGCAGGGGAUCUUCGGACCUUGCGCGAUUGAAUGAGCCGAUGUCGGAUUAGCUAGUUGGCGGGGUAAAGGCCCACCAAGGCGACGAUCCGUAGCUGGUCUGAGAGGAUGAUCAGCCACACUGGAACUGAGACACGGUCCAGACUCAUACGGGAGGCAGCAGUGGGGAAUAUUGGACAAAGGGCGCAAGCCUGAUCCAGCCAUACCGCGUGGGUGAAGAAGGCCUUCGGGUUGUAAAGCCCUUUUGUUGGGAAAGAAAAGCAGCAGGUUAAUACCCCGCUGUUCUGACGGUACCCAAAGAAUAAGCACCGGCUAACUUCGUG
rnacentral:rRNA from 1 species